UACGUAGGUGGCAAGCGUUGUCCGGAUUUACUGGGCGUAAAGAGCGCGCAGGCGGUCAGAUAAGUCGAAUGUGAAAGCCCACGGCUCAACCGUGGAGGGUCAUUGGAAACUGGGGGACUUGAGUACAGAAGAGGAAAGCGGAAUUCCACGUGUAGCGGUGAAAUGCGUAGAGAUGUGGAGGAACACCAGUGGCGAAGGCGGCUUUCUGGUCUGUAACUGACGCUGAGGCGCGAAAGCGUGGGGAGCAAACAGG
rnacentral:rRNA from 1 species